UACAGAGGGUGCUAGCGUUGUUCGGAAUCAUUGGGCGUAAAGGGCGUGUAGGCGGUUUGUUAAGUCAUGUGUGAAAUCCCUCGGCUCAACCGGGGAACGACGCAUGAAACUGGCAAGCUAGAGUACCAAAGAGGGGGGUGGAAUUCCCGGUGUAGCGGUGAAAUGCGUAGAGAUCGGCAGGAACACCGGUGGCGAAGGCGGCAUCCUGGACCAAUUCUGACGCUGAUGAGCGAAAGCCAGGGGAGCAAACGGG
rnacentral:rRNA from 1 species